GUAUUGUAUUUUUGUGUACGGUUGGAGGGUGCCUCUAUCCAUCAAGCCCAGUAAUUAUUAGUAAGCCUUGGUUUCAUGACUCCAGUACUUAGAGGACCUUCAAGGGACACCAAGGAAGCUGUUCAAUUCAGGAAACAUUUCCGGUGUAUCUGUCAUUUGCAAGUUCUUGCACUAGCUGCUAUAAGGAGGCAGAGCUGAGUCAGAAAUGGUCCUUGCCCUUGGGAUCAGGACACCGCGAUGAGGACGAACAAGUGUGUCUUGAUGUGUCCAUGGAGGGGGAGUUGGGGUGGCACAGAAAAAGCCUGGCCAUGGCUGCCCUUCCAUCUGUGGUGCUGAGAAGCGGAACCCUGGCCUUGGUAGCAAGCAGAGCAUCACCCAAAAGUGAGGGCAGAGAGUGAGGAAAAGGGGCUUCCUUUAUGACUUAGCGAGUGAUCCACCUUGGGAAUGGGAGGAGCAGGGAGAGUCGGGUUAGUUUGCCUGAGGAGAUUGUUCCCUUUUCUUCAGAAGUUUCCUCUGCAUUUAGCGAGUAAGUUCUUACUGAGUUCUGGGGGGUGUUGUUUUUUUUUUUUUCUUCUUCUUCCUUUUUUUCUUUUCUUUCUUGAAUCUUUUUUCUUUAGAAGUGUGGAGUGUGUCCAGGGGGCGGGAGAGUUUUGCGUGGGACUGGAGAGUGCCCCCAGCCAGGCAACCUUAGCUGAGCCUGAGUUGUGUUCUACAUCCCUGAUUGGAGACAAAGAUGAUCACGCUGGGUCUCUGAACCACUUCUCUGUGGCUAGAGACCAUAGUCCAUCUUCUCCAAGAGCCUACUGAUACCGAACAUUGAAUGAGGUUAGGGGUUAAAGUACCUACAUCCCACCUUCCUCAGCACCUUCUCUCUCUCUCAGACUCCAGUUCUACCUAUCUGAUAACAUAUUAAAUUGGCUUGGUUAUCUCUUUUUAUUUCCUCUGUCUCUGAGUCAUGGCCCCUUCUCCUUAGUCAGUCACUGGGGCUCCCCUAGCUCUCUCUGACCACAUGCAAACUUUCUCUUCUGGGUAGCCUUAGAAUUCUGCUAAUACCUACUGCCCUAGGAAGUGAGAGAGAACGAAUAUGUUUUCAGGAGCUUACAGUUAAUGAGAGGACAAAACUGACAGAUACUAGGGAUGAAUACCACCCUAAUGAAAUAAGUAAAAGGAUGCAUUU
rnacentral:lncRNA from 1 species